rnacentral:rRNA from 1 species
CCUACGGGAUGCAGCAGUGAGGAAUAUUGGUAAAUGGCCGGAAGGCUGAACCAGCCAAGCCGCGUGAAGGACGAAGGUGCCAAGCAUUGUAAACUUCUUUUGUCAAGGGACAAAAUCAGGCUCGAGAGCCUGACCGAGGGUACUUGAAGAACAAGCAUCGGCUAACUCCGUGCCAGCAGCCGCGGUAAUACGGAGGAUGCGAGCGUUAUCCGGAUUUAUUGGGGUGAAGGGGUGCGAAGGCGGACUGUUAAGUCAGCGGUAAAAGCCCGGGGCUCAACCCCGGCGAGCCGUUGAAACUGGCUGUCGUGAGAUGUCGAGAGGUAUGCGGAAUGCGCAGUGUAGCGGUGAAAUGCGUAGAUAUUGCGCAGAACUCCGAUUGCGAAGGCAGCAUACCGGCGGCGAUCUGACGCUGAGGCACGAAAGCGUGGGUAUCGAACAGGAUUAGAUACCCUAGUAGUC